rnacentral:SRP_RNA from 1 species
UCGUGCUAGAUGGGGAGGUAGCGGCACCCUGUAACUUGCAAUCCGCUAUAGCAAGGUUGAAUUCCCUGCCGAGGGUUUGAUUUGUUUGGUCUGCCCCUCUCAAGUGGUGUUGAUAAUUUGGUCCUGCGCAAUAGAGAUCUCUGAACCCCGUCAGAUCCGGGAGGAAGCAGCGGUAAGGAGAACCCUUUAUGUGCCGCAGGCAAUCCGAGUUUGAGCUAACUGUUAGGGUAACGCAGGUGAUGAUAAUUCGAAGCAGGGUGCACGA